rnacentral:rRNA from 1 species
GACGAACGCUGGCGGCGUGCUUAACACAUGCAAGUCGAACGGAAAGGCCCUGCUUUUGUGGGGUGCUCGAGUGGCGAACGGGUGAGUAACACGUGAGUAACCUGCCCUUGACUUUGGGAUAACUUCAGGAAACUGGGGCUAAUACCGGAUAGGAGCUCCUGCUGCAUGGUGGGGGUUGGAAAGUUUCGGCGGUUGGGGAUGGACUCGCGGCUUAUCAGCUUGUUGGUGGGGUAGUGGCUUACCAAGGCUUUGACGGGUAGCCGGCCUGAGAGGGUGACCGGCCACAUUGGGACUGAGAUACGGCGCAGAAUCCUACGGGAGGCAGCAGUGGGGAAUAUUGCACAAUGGGCGGAAGCCUGAUGCAGCAACGCCGCGUGCGGGAUGACGGCCUUCGGGUUGUAAACCGCUUUCGCCUGUGACGAAGCGGGAGUGACGGUAAUGGGUAAAGAAGCACCGGCUAACUACGUG